rnacentral:lncRNA from 1 species
GUCUAAUGUCAUCUCACAUCGCUGAUCAUUGAGCGAGACAUGCGCUCCAAGCGGAGAGAUUUAUAACUGCAAUUACAAUGCCUCAGCCGGUCAUUUUUGCGACUGUUCUACUUCGACAGACUUUCCUCCUUAUCUCUACUCUCCCUGGAAGUAACGAAAUGUCACUUCAAGUGACACUGUUUUUCCCUCCUUUUUCGUUUGGCGCCUGUUGUGUCGUACGCGUCCUCCGUGAUUGUGCUCUAUGUGAUUAAUAAUAACACCUAUUCGUUUCAUGGAAAAGCGAAAACAUGUACUCGGUGAUAAAAUUUACUGAAAAAGACGGCGGAACCGUAUCAUUAGUGAACAACCAGUGGUUUACGCCAAGGAGAUGCGAAUAUCAAAUUCUACGGACAUCACUCGGCAGUUCGUGGUCCCGGCCGCCAUCAUGCUUUGUACUGCUGCUCCAGCUAUCCUCCAGUGCAACUUGAAGGCCUAAUCCAUGCACACAUCGGUGUUUUUUUAUAUCUAUGUAAUACACUUGUCAUUGGCGAAGGUCCACGAGGCUGCCAUAUUGAAUAGAGAGAAAUUCUUUAAGGGCCAGUGAUCGAGCCAUGCUAAUUUGAAAUCGCGAGUACCUAUUUCGUAUAAUCACAUUAUUUUCAUAAAAUGACUUGAGGACCCCUUCCAUUGACAUGAAUGCACGGAACUACAAGCCGGCUUCUUUUCUGCGUUGGAUGACCUAGAGAAAGCAAAAAAAAUACUGAAACUGGUUGAGGAUACAUCAGACUUACAGACUGAAGCCGAAACAGAACCAAGUCUUAAACGUAAAAUGCAAAAAAGAUAUGUUUCUAGCAGCAGUGACGAAGAUGAACAGUGAAAAAGAAAUAAACAACCACUUCAAGCUGCUGACAAUGAAGGAGAUUAUGGAGAUAGUCGUCAAGCUCAGCCAAACAUUGCCCAAGAAACCGCUUCAAUAGCAGAAAGAACCCUCUCAUUACUGACUGUAGCAGAUGAGCUUCCCAUCUUGACAAACAGUGACAACAGACUGCAAGAUUUGGCAGAAGACGGCGACGGACGGUUAACUCCCUU